rnacentral:rRNA from 1 species
AGUGAACGCUGGCGGUAGGCCUAACACAUGCAAGUCGAACGGCAGCACAGUAAGAGCUUGCUCUUACGGGUGGCGAGUGGCGGACGGGUGAGGAAUACAUCGGAAUCUACUUUUUCGUGGGGGAUAACGUAGGGAAACUUACGCUAAUACCGCAUACGACCUACGGGUGAAAGCAGGGGAUCUUCGGACCUUGCGCGAUUGAAUGAGCCGAUGUCGGAUUAGCUAGUUGGCGGGGUAAAGGCCCACCAAGGCGACGAUCCGUAGCUGGUCUGAGAGGAUGAUCAGCCACACUGGAACUGAGACACGGUCCAGACUCAGACGGGAGGCAGCAGUGGUGAAUAUUGGACAAGGGGCGCAAGCCUGAUCCAGCCAUACCGCGGGGGUGAAGAAGGCCUUCGGGUUGUAAAGCCCUUUUGUUGGGAAAGAAAAGCAGCAGGUUAAUACCCCGCUGUUCUGACGGUACCAAAAGAAUAAGCACCGGCGAACUUCGG